UACGGAGGGUGCAAGCGUUAUCCGGAAUUACUGGGUUUAAAGGGUGCGUAGGCGGUCAUAUAAGUCAGUGGUGAAAGUUUGCUGCUUAACGGUAGAAUUGCCAUUGAUACUGUAUGACUUGAAUUAGGAUGAGGAUGGCGGAAUGAGACAUGUAGCGGUGAAAUGCAUAGAUAUGUCUUAGAACACCGAUUGCGAAGGCAGCUAUCUAGACCUCAAUUGACGCUGAGGCACGAAAGCGUGGGGAGCGAACAGG
rnacentral:rRNA from 1 species